AUACGGAGGAUGCGAGCGUUAUCCGGAUUUAUUGGGUUUAAAGGGAGCGUAGGUGGGAUAUUAAGUCAGCUGUGAAAGUUUGGGGCUCAACCUUAAAAUUGCAGUUGAUACUGGUUUCCUUGAGUACGGUACAGGUGGGCGGAAUUCGUGGUGUAGCGGUGAAAUGCUUAGAUAUCACGAAGAACUCCGAUCGCGAAGGCAGCUCACCGGGCCGGAACUGACACUGAUGCUCGAAAGUGCGGGUAUCAAACAGGAUUAGAUACCCUGGUAGUCCGCACAGUAAACGAUGAAUACUCGCUGUUUGCGAUACACUGUAAGCGGCCAAGCGAAAGCGUUAAGUAUUCCACCUGGGGAGUACGCCGGCAACGGUGAAACUCAAAGGAAUCGACGGGG
rnacentral:rRNA from 1 species